UCUCAUUCUUGACUUUUUCGCUUCUUAAUUCCUUUAAUCUUUUAAAAUUUAAUGGGCACCAUGCCACCCAUUUGGAGUUCCUCAUCACCGGUUUGGAUUAUUAAAUCAUCUCUCCCGAUCGAGGUUUAUUCUACAUUCUUCAUGCAUGUCGGAUCAGAUGAAGCCUAAAUCAUGUCUAACUCAUUCCUAUUUCCCCGAGUCCGAGUGCAGUUCGUUCAACUCCUCCAUUAGUUAAUAUGUAUACAUUUCUACUUGGCUCUAGCGAUUGGCUUUUCCAGUUUAACAACCUCUCUAUGAUUUACUUCUUUCAUUCAUCUCUUGCCAUGAAAGUUCGAAAUUGAGAUUAAUCUCAAUCACUAUUUGUAAAUGAAUGAAAGAAUAUUUAAUUA